rnacentral:rRNA from 1 species
AUGCAUUUCGAUGAUCAUGAGUUUGAGGUGGACGAGAAUGAUGAGGGCAUCGUCGAUACACCAAAAGGAAGAGGGGGAAUCUACACCAUGGAUGAAGACAUCUUGCUAUGCAAUACUUGGUUGCAAGUGUCGAGGGAUCCCUCUGUUGGAGGGGAUCAAACUAGAGAUGAAUAUUGGCUCUGGAUGAAGGAACACUUUGAUGUACAUAACGAAAGUGGAAUUGACUGCUCCGGAAGAUCUUUUCGCUCCUGGUGGUCAACAAUCAACCGAGAUUGUCAAAGGUGGGCGGGCGCACUUAAGGCGGUUGACAAGUUGAACCCAAGUGGCACUAAUGAUAGAGAUAGGCUCACUAUUGCACAAAACUUAUUCCAAGGAGAGGAGAAGAAGACCAAGAAAGGAAAGAUCAAAAAAGGAAGACCAUUUACCUUGCCUCAUUGCUAUGAAGAAUUGAAGGAUGGUGAGAAAUGGAAGUCCCAUGAUGCUAUCGAUGAUGGUGAUGAGGAGAGCAACAAACGCAAGCGAACUAUUGAUUUAGGUGAUGAUGAGGAGGAGGCAUCAAGUGAUGACGACAAGAGAAGCCCUACACCAAACUCGGUUUCGUACUCCAAGCCAAAAAGACCGGAUGGAUGCAAGAAAGACCCAAAAGAAAAGAAGAAGAGGAAAGGAGAUGAUGAGCUAAAAAACGCUAUGGAAGCUAUUGUGAAGGCAAGAAAGGAGGCGAACGAGAUGAGGAAGAUGACAAGGAACCAAGAUGCCGCGACAGAGGAGAGGAGGUUGGCGGCCAAGGAGAGGAGGGUGGCAGCCGAGGAGAGGAAGGUGGCAUUGAAGGAGAGGGAGGUGGCCAUGGAGGAGCGAACUAGGUUGUUAGAAUGGGAGAAGUACUUGCUCUUCAUGGACACAUCUACCCUCGAUGAGAAGCAAAAGAAGUAUGUUAAUCUUGCCCGUGAAGAAGUCUUAGUCUAA